rnacentral:rRNA from 1 species
GUGCACGCUGGCGGUAGGCCUAACACAUGCAAGUCGCACGGCAGCACAGUAAGAGCUUGCUCUUACGGGUGGCGAGUGGCGGACGGGUGAGGAAUACAUCGGAAUCUACUUUUUCGUGGGGGUUAACGUAGGGAAACUUACGCUAAUACCGCAUACGACCUACGGGUGAAAGCAGGGGAUCUUCGGACCUUGCGCGAUUGAAUGAGCCGAUGUCGGAUUAGCUAGUUGGCGGGGUAAAGGCCCACCAAGGCGACGAUCCGUAGCUGGUCUGAGAGGAUGAUCAGCCACACUGGAACUGAGACACGGUCCAGACUCCUACGGGAGGCAGCAGUGGGGAAUAUUGGACAAUGGGCGCAAGCCUGAUCCAGCCAUACCGCGUGGGUGAAGAAGGCCUUCGGGUUGUAAAGCCCUUUUGUUGGGAAAGAAAAGCAGCAGGUUAAUACCCCGCUGUUCUGACGGUACCCAAAGAAUAAGCACCGGCUAACUUCGUG